GAACAAAACAAACCACAAGGUCUGCCCUGAGGACAAGACUACCCUCCUUUAUAAUGAGGAAGACAGUCAAUACACAAGAUAAAUUACAACUAAGUCAAUUGUAUGGCAUGUUAAAAGGUAAUAAGUGUUGUAUGGAAGACUGAAAGAGCAAAGCAAAGAGAGACCAAGGUACAGGUUGUAAUGUAAACAGAGCCUCACUGAGAAAGUGAAGUGGGAGCAAAGACUGAAGGAAGUGAGGGCCAAGCAGUUACUUGGGAAAGAGCCCCUCA